rnacentral:tRNA from 1 species
UUGUUUUAGGUGUUUUGCAUAGUAGGUUUUGAGCCUAAUGGAUUUAAAACAAA